rfam:Agrilus planipennis Contig59338, whole genome shotgun sequence.
ACCUCUCCCCCUCCCUAAUGUUCCCAACAAUCCUUCCAUGGGAGUCAUUAGAUUCAGGCUGACAUCCCUACUCGAGGAGGGGUUUUAGUCGGUAGGCGCUUCGGUGAAUCCGACACUACCCUGUUUUAGGGGGUGUCUUUUGCAGACGUCCCCUCCUCGAGGAUA